GUGGGGAAUUUUGCGCAAUGGGGGAAACCCUGACGCAGCAACGCCGCGUGGAGGAUGAAGGUUUUCGGAUUGUAAACUCCUGUCAGUGGGGAAAAAGCGAGCUGGUCGAACACGCCAGUGAGUUGAUUGUACCCGCAGAGGAAGCCCCGGCUAACUCUGUGCCAGCAGCCGCGGUAAUACAGAGGGGGCAAGCGUUAUUCGGAAUUAUUGGGCGUAAAGGGCGCGUAGGCGGCCGCACAAGUGGAAGGUGAAAUCCCCCGGCUCAACCGGGGAACUGCCUUCCAAACUGAGUGGCUUGAGUCCGGGAGAGGUGAGUGGAAUUCCCAGUGUAGCGGUGAAAUGCGUAGAUAUUGGGAGGAACACCGGUGGCGAAGGCGGCUCACUGGACCGGAACUGACGCUGAGGCGCGAAAGCGUGGGGAGCAAACGGGAUUAGAAACCCUAGUAGUCC
rnacentral:rRNA from 1 species